rnacentral:rRNA from 1 species
CCUACGGGAGGCAGCAGUGAUGAAUAUUGGUCAAUGGCCGGAAGGCUGAACCAGCCAAGUCGCGUGAGGGACGACUGCCCUAUGGGUUGUAAACCUCUUUUAUAAGGGAAGAAUAAAUGCUACGUGUAGCAUGAUGCCUGUACCUUAUGAAUAAGCAUCGGCUAACUCCGUGCCAGCAGCCGCGGUAAUACGGAGGAUGCGAGCGUUAUCCGGAUUUAUUGGGUUUAAAGGGUGCGUAGGCGGUUUUUUAAGUUAGUGGUUAAACGUCGGGGCUUCACCUUGAUUUGCCAUUAAUACUGUAAGACUCGAGUUCAGACGAGGUAGGCGGAAUAAGUUAAGUAGCGGUGAAAUGCUUAGAUAUAACUUAGAACUCCGAUAGCGAAGGCAGCUUACCGGACUGCGACUGACGCUGAAGCACGAGAGCGUGGGUAGCGAACAGGAUUAGAUACCCGUGUAGUC